CGAUAUGAAGUCCACAAUUGUCUCUCUUAAAACAGAAAUGGAAACACGCAAAAGAUUUAGAUGUGAAUCUGGUGUUUUUGGAUAACACGUUUACCCGCCUCCCGUUAUCUGGCUACAUGAAAAAAAACAUAGUGUUAAAGACAGCAUUUCAAGAAACACCAACCUUGACGUAUGGACUUUACUAGAUUCCAGUACCAGUAAUAAUUUGCGUGUGAAUACUGUUACA